rnacentral:rRNA from 1 species
CGAAGCUGCGGCAGCGACACUGUGUGUUGUUGGGUAGGGGAGCGUUCUGUAAGCCUGUGAAGGUGGCCUGUGAGGGUUGCUGGAGGUAUCAGAAGUGCGAAUGCUGACAUAAGUAACGAUAAAGCGGGUGAAAAGCCCGCUCGCCGGAAGACCAAGGGUUCCUGUCCAACGUUAAUCGGGGCAGGGUGAGUCGACCCCUAAGGCGAGGCCGAAAGGCGUAGUCGAUGGGAAACGGGUUAAUAUUCCCGUACUUGGUGUUACUGCGAAGGGGGGACGGAGAAGGCUAUGUUGGCCGGGCGACGGUUGUCCCGGUUUAAGCGUGUAGGCUGGUUUUCCAGGCAAAUCCGGAAAAUCAAGGCUGAGGCGUGACGACGAGGCACUACGGUGCUGAAGCAACAAAUGCCCUGCUUCCAGGAAAAGCCUCUAAGCAUCAGGUAACACGAAAUCGUACCCCAAACCGACACAGGUGGUCAGGUAGAGAAUACCAAGGCGCUUGAGAGAACUCGGGUGAAGGAACUAGGCAAAAUGGUGCCGUAACUUCGGGAGAAGGCACGCUGACACGUAGGUGAAGUGAUUUACUCAUGGAGCUGAAGUCAGUCGAAGAUACCAGCUGGCUGCAACUGUUUAUUAAAAACACAGCACUGUGCAAACACGAAAGUGGACGUAUACGGUGUGACGCCUGCCCGGUGCCGGAAGGUUAAUUGAUGGGGUCAGCGCAAGCGAAGCUCCUGAUCGAAGCCCCGGUAAACGGCGGCCGUAACUAUAACGGUCCUAAGGUAGCGAAAUUCCUUGUCGGGUAAGUUCCGACCUGCACGAAUGGCGUAAUGAUGGCCAGGCUGUCUCCACCCGAGACUCAGUGAAAUUGAACUCGCUGUGAAGAUGCAGUGUACCCGCGGCAAGACGGAAAGACCCCGUGAACCUUUACUAUAGCUUGACACUGAACAUUGAGCCUUGAUGUGUAGGAUAGGUGGGAGGCUUUGAAGUGUGGACGCCAGUCUGCAUGGAGCCGACCUUGAAAUACCACCCUUUAAUGUUUGAUGUUCUAACGUGGACCCGUAAUCCGGGUUGCGGACAGUGUCUGGUGGGUAGUUUGACUGGGGCGGUCUCCUCCUAAAGAGUAACGGAGGAGCACGAAGGUUGGCUAAUCCUGGUCGGACAUCAGGAGGUUAGUGCAAUGGCAUAAGCCAGCUUGACUGCGAGCGUGACGGCGCGAGCAGGUGCGAAAGCAGGUCAUAGUGAUCCGGUGGUUCUGAAUGGAAGGGCCAUCGCUCAACGGAUAAAAGGUACUCCGGGGAUAACAGGCUGAUACCGCCCAAGAGUUCAUAUCGACGGCGGUGUUUGGCACCUCGAUGUCGGCUCAUCACAUCCUGGGGCUGAAGUAGGUCCCAAGGGUAUGGCUGUUCGCCAUUUAAAGUGGUACGCGAGCUGGGUUUAGAACGUCGUGAGACAGUUCGGUCCCUAUCUGCCGUGGGCGCUGGAGAACUGAGGGGGGCUGCUCCUAGUACGAGAGGACCGGAGUGGACGCAUCACUGGUGUUCGGGUUGUCAUGCCAAUGGCACUGCCCGGUAGCUAAAUGCGGAAGAGAUAAGUGCUGAAAGCAUCUAAGCACGAAACUUGCCCCGA